GUAACAAGGUUUCCGUAGGUGAACCUGCGGAAGGAUCAUUACUGUGAUUUAUACACCACACUGCGUGGGCGACACGAAACACCGAAACCGAACGCACGCCGUCAAGCAAGAAAUCCACAAAACUUUCAACAACGGAUCUCUUGGUUCUCGCAUCGAUGAAGAGCGCAGCGAAAUGCGAUACCUAGUGUGAAUUGCAGCCAUCGUGAAUCAUCGAGUUCUUGAACGCACAUUGCGCCCGCUGGUAUUCCGGCGGGCAUGCCUGUCUGAGCGUCGUUUCCUUCUUGGAGCGGUGCUUCAGACCUGGCGGGCUGUCUUUUUGGACGGCGCGCCCAAAGCGAGGGGCCUUCUGCGCGAACUAGACUGUGCGCGCGGGGCGGCCGGCGAACUUAUUACCAAGCUCGACCUCAGAUCAGGCAGGAGUACCCGCUGAACCUAAGCAUAUCA
rnacentral:misc_RNA from 1 species